GCUCUAACAAUACUAUAAAGACAACAACAAUUUUACGAAAAAAAAAUACAGGUAGAAUAAACAUAAUGGGUACUUUAUAGAUUCAUAAACCAUUAAGAAGUUUCCUUCGAAACCGCAAAGUUAUACAGGUUCACCUACAAAUGUUGGCCACCACUGACAUUCGAAGUCCUGCCUCCCUCCGCGGGGCGUGGUGUGGGGGAACGACGUCAUGCACCGCGAUCGAUAUGCAGGACCCUAGAAUAUCGGAUACGUUCGGAGAGCUUCGACUAUAAAUAGACGUUUUCUUUGCCCUGAAUAUUUUAAUUUAGCGUUAAUUCAUUGAGUGGGUUUUCUGUGUGGGCUCCUUUAAGUCUAAAAAAAGUUAAUCGCGUAUCCAAUGAAAAUAAUUUAUCGUACCAGUUGGAUUUAUCAUGUAAUCGAAUAUAAAUAAACGAGCUGAAACAGAG